rnacentral:lncRNA from 1 species
GUCUGUUUGAUAGUAUAUCCGUAACUGUCACCAUUUUAUGUAUACAAUAACAUACAGUAUCUGGAAAAUCAAUACAUGUAUAUAUUUUACCUAUUGUAAAUGCCCUCUUACAGUGUCUUUUUAGACUGCAGUUUUAAAUACGGAAGUACAGAGCUAAUUAUGUAUCAUAAUUACACAAAUAAUCAGAUUCAUCAAUGAUAAUCAACUAGCUUCAAGUGUACUGCAAACAUUCAGAAUAUUGAUACUAGACUAAAUUUCUGCAGUGAUGCGUUUGAGUAAUAAUAUAUCUUAACUUGUUCCUCUUUGACUGACUCAGAUCUUUUAUUUCUACUUGUCUUUAUUGUAUACAUAACUUAAAGGGAGUUUGGUGUGGGUAAGAUGAAAUAAAAAUUCUUUGAAUAACUCAAUAUAACUGGAAUAUAAAAAGAUAUUGAGGUGGAUAGACUUUAUCACUAUAGCUAAUUGUGGAUCUGUGACACUUAACCUGAGAUUUAACAACACUUAAACUAUUGACGUCAUACAAAAAUCUCUUUUUGUUUGUGGCGUCAAACAUUUUCUCUUGUGACAUAACAAAUUUACGGGAACUUCUGAUUGUCCAAUGAUAGCAGAACAAUUGAGACAAAGUGUAUGGAGUCCAAUUGACAUGGAUUUAAAAACUUAGGGAACUUUCUUUGCCAUUAUCUAGUAAUUUUUUACCUGUAACAUUUUUUUUUUUUCAAUCAUAAAACAUCUCCUUAUUGUAAUCAUACAAUGCAACAUCUCCCUAUAAUACCAUACAACAUCUCCUUAUUGCAAUCAUAACACACCAUAUUUUAACCAGAUGCUCCGCAAGUCACAGCUUUAUAUGACCGCACAGAAUUCGAACCCUGAACAUUGGGGCAAGUAUGGACACAACAUUCAAGCUUGAUACAGCUCUGAAUUCGGAUUGUGAUUAAAUAGUUGACACAACACAGGUUUCUCACACAUAAUGAAUGUGGUCUAAGAACUUAAACUUAAAAACUUUAAAUUUUAACAGUCGGAAACCCGGUUGAAAUAGAACAAAAGAAUAGAAACUCUUUGUUAGAGAAGGCGAUAAAUGUGUAUGGUAUUG